AGAAGAUGGGGGCCAGAGGUCUGGAUCUAUGGUUUGAGCAAGCCACAUUAGAGGAUGACGGGUUCAAUGGCUACGUGAUGCGCACGGGUCGCCGAUUUCAGAGGACUACUGGAUUUAAUGGAGGCACGAAGACAGAAGCCAGCGAAGAAGAAGGCCCUGCGAUUUCACGAUCUGUGACAGUGGUGGGCUGAUGAUUGGAGCAGAGUUCUGCUCUUUUUGUUGUAGGUGCUGCUGAAGGUCCCUUCAUUUUUGGUGCGUCCCUUCAUCCUGGUAAGGCUCACUGGAUAAAUGGUUUGGAUGACGUAUACACAAUGCGAUGAACUCCAAAUUUCAUCUGGAACUUUCUACGGUUUGUCUUUUCUACAAGCUAAAGUGUAUUUAAAUGGCACAAGAACCCAUAAAUCCAGAUGAGGUUGUUUUGGCAGAAGAAGUAAACCAUGCAAGGUCGAUCACCUUAAACCGGCCUCGCCAAUUGAAUGUCAUUUCAUCCAAAGUGGUUGUUUUGCUAGCUGAAUUCCUUGAAAAAUGGGAGAAGGAUGAUGAUGCAGAGCUUGUGAUAAUUAAGGCUGCUGGACGUGCUUUCUCUGCUGGUGGGGAUCUAAA